rnacentral:lncRNA from 1 species
UGCACUCCAGCCCGGGCGACAGAGUGAGACCCUGCCUCAAAAAUAAUCAUAAAUACUGAGUUGGGGGAGGUUCAUUAUGAUUGAUGCACUUGAGUUACCGAUUUGGGUCGAGGGUUCAGUGAAGCUUUGGUUUACAUCUUGUGCAGCUAACCACGGUGAGCACAGAGCAUAAGACUUCAUCAUGAGGAGGUAGGAUUAAGGAUUAGGCUUCUGGACUCGUGGUUCGUGAUGUUGUCACAUUAGAAACACAUCUAGCAUGGUUACAAGUCUGGAUCUUAAGAGACACAAAAGGCCCCAGCUGUGAUGAAGUCCAAAGCCACAUUCUCUGAGGGUGCCCUACUCCCUGGGCAGACCCACCCAAAGUCCUUGCUAUGAAGCAGAUCACUGGGGCUGACCUUGGGUGUAUUAAGUGAGUUUUGGAGUCGUCACCAAAGUGUGAGUUUCACAGUUGAACACCAAGGUUCAGAAGCAGGGUAUAGAAUGAAAGGCAGCAGAUAAAAUUGCAUUUCUCAAUUG